GUGUCAGCCGCCGCGGUAAUACGGAGGGUGCAAGCGUUAAUCGGAAUUACUGGGCGUAAAGCGCGCGUAGGUGGCUUGAUAAGCCGGUUGUGAAAGCCCCGGGCUCAACCUGGGAACGGCAUCCGGAACUGUCAGGCUAGAGUGCAGGAGAGGAAGGUAGAAUUCCCGGUGUAGCGGUGAAAUGCGUAGAGAUCGGGAGGAAUACCAGUGGCGAAGGCGGCCUUCUGGACUGACACUGACACUGAGGUGCGAAAGCGUGGGUAGCAAACAGGAUUAGAUACCCUGGUAGUNCACGCCGUAAACGAUGUCGACCAGCCGUUGGGUGCCUAGAGCACUUUGUGGCGAAGUUAACGCGAUAAGUCGACCGCCUGGGGAGUACGGCCGCAAGGUUAAAACUCAAAUGAAUUGACGGGGGCCCGCACAAGCGGUGGAGCAUGUGGUUUAAUUCGAUGCAACGCGAAGAACCUUACCUACCCUUGACAUCUACAGAAGCCGGAAGAGAUUCUGGUGUGCCUUCGGGAACUGUAAGACAGGUGCUGCAUGGCUGUCGUCAGCUCGUGUUGUGAAAUGUUGGGUUAAGUCCCGUAACGAGCGCAACCCUUGUCCUUAUUUGCCAGCGAGUAAUGUCGGGAACUCUAAGGAGACUGCCGGUGACAAACCGGAGGAAGGUGGGGACGACGUCAAGUCAUCAUGGCCCUUACGGGUAGGGCUACACACGUGCUACAAUGGCCGGUACAAAGGGCUGCGAGCUCGCGAGAGUCAGCGAAUCCCUUAAAGCCGGUCUCAGUCCGGAUCGGAGUCUGCAACUCGACUCCGUGAAGUCGGAAUCGCUAGUAAUCGUGAAUCAGAAUGUCACGGUGAAUACGUUCCCGGGCCUUGCACACACCGCCCGUC
rnacentral:rRNA from 1 species